rnacentral:pre_miRNA from 9 species
UCUCGAUAGAGUAAAAAUCAAGUCAAAUUUGUAUGGAGUUGGGACAUUUGGCUACGUUUGCCGCUAGGGGCGCUGUUCCAACUGCAUACAAAUUAGAGUUAACUUUUACGUUAUCGA